GCUUGCGGCUCGCGUGCAAUUAGCCGGCGGCGGCUGUCGAUGUGUAUUAACACCGGCGAUGACCGUAGCGGAGCCGAAAUCUUCUUCUGGAACCGCGCGCGGGUUGCCUCCACUCUUUCGACGUCCUGGUCCGUGCGAUUGGUCCGUAUGAUCCCACUUUCAUCCCCACGUAAGACCCCGAACGUGAACCCCGUGGGGGUUGGGCUCGUGAACCGAACGAUAUAUCGGGGGAAAUUUUCCGAAAGCACGUUCCGAGUGCCAAUUGCCGCUGUAGCCGGCAGCGACGGCCAAUCGGCGUCGCCCCCGGUCGGGCAGGUGGGGGACCAGCCGAGACUUAAGCGAGGCCACUCGCCGUGGAGCUGUCAGAGCUCUGUGGGGCACGGUCACGCACACAGCAGCUGUUCCCCAUCGGUUUUUCCGGUAGCGUCCACCUACCUCCUUCGUAGUUUGGUCGUCCGCGCGGCAUUCCACGCGAGAGUCACCUCUGGCUCGGAUCGUCUUGACUCUCCUCAAGACCGUCCUCGAGAUCACACACAAUCGCUCUUGUCCUCGCGCGACUCGACAACUCGCCGAUCCUCUCGCUCUUCCUCUCGCUCGCUCGCUCGCUCGCCGCCGCCGCCGCCGCCGCCGCCGCCGCACUCUCCCUCGACGUGAUUGUCCGUCUGAAGAUAUCCGCUAAUUGGAGAGAGGCCGCUAUUUUGCCGAUACACUCGUGGUGUCGCGCGCGCAACAGACACCCCGGCAGAACUCGCCGCCGACGGAGUGAGAAGAUAUGGCUCGCCAGUUGGACCCCACUGGCCUCUACUGAAGACUACGUUUUUCCCCACGAUCGAGCACAGCGCUUACAUACUUCCGCUUUCGGUGUUGCUGAAGAUCAUUAUCGUCGACAUGGCAGCAGGAGGAUUGGACCCCACCGGUCUCUACUGAAGUGCCGAGAGGAAUAACUGCGUUUCUCGAGACCGCUCGUAUUUCCGUAUAUACCUCCGCCUUCCUUUUCCCCCCAUCUGGAACUGUUCUGCCGACUGACUCGCUGAUUAAACUUGUGCAUCAUGGCUGGACUCGACCCGACUGGCCAGUAUUGACGAAAGAGAGAGAGAGAGAGAGAGAGAGAGAGAGAGAGAGAGAGAGACGGGUGACGCGACUGACGAGAGGAGUAGAGGCGAGCGCGAGAGUACGAGAGACCAGUAACGAAGACUCGACGAAAUAUCUCAAGGUCGCGACAUGGCUACCGCUGCUGUCGGGGGUCUCGAUCCGACCGGACAAUACUGAGAUAUCGAGACUCCCGUGAUACGAAGGUGGACGAGGAGGACGGGGAGUACGAGAUCCUCGUUCCUGCACGAUGACCGCGGUCAUGGGAGUAGUGAGAGGACGGGAGGAGACCUCAUCCUCCAACCUGAGGAGACUUCAGUGGAGCAUCCAUAUUCGCAAAGGACGACAUCGGAUAUCCGUUAUACCGGGACGUCAAUGAAACGGCCGAUUAACUGCCUACUACACAUACAGGGAAAUCACGACCAGCAACGACAUCACUGCCGUCGAGCAGCCUCAUCGUCACUCGCCAUCCCAGCCGAGGAGGAGACGCGACGACGACGGUGCGGCCGCCUCAACAACGUGUGGGCCAGGAGGACACCAUUGGGAACCUUGCACUGCCAUGGAAAUUCGUCACCUAGUCGCUUUUUUUUACUUCUCUCCUUCAACUCGCUCGCAAACGAUCGCGCGAUUCUCGAGCACGGAACGCGGACGCAUCCGGCUGGAGAGGUCGCCGCCGCCGUGCGUCUCGAGCCGCCGACGUAGCGACACGAGAGAAAGAGGGAAGGACAGAGAGAGAGAGAGAGAGAGAGAGAGAGAGAGAGAGAGAGACAGACGCUAUUUUUCUUCCUUUUCUUUUUCCCCUAUCCUUGUAUUCUCUUAUAUCUUCUCGUAUAUCUUUUAUGUUCUCUUUUUGAUUUGUUCACUCGCAGUAAGACAUAUAGCGGCCGUUCUGUUCGUCACCGGACGGGACACAAACCCGUAAUAUUUUACUCUCUCUCUCUCUCUCUCUCUCUCUCUCUCUUUCUUUAUUCGACGCUACUUUAUCGCUAUUAUCACACCGCUUCAGCGCUACCACUAGCAGCCCGCUACUUCCAGCACUGUCCGCCACCGGUCAAGACAUUUGCACGCGCGAACAUCGCGCCAUUACCGUUAUCGCUACACUAUCACCGCCGUCGCGACUAAUACACGACGGCUGCCGUUACCGUAUCGUUUCUCUGUUGUCUCGAGCGAGCACCGACGAUGUUGGUGCUGUCGGUCGCACUGCGUGCUCAGCUCGGGGAAACGGUACGGAUUAACCGAUUGUUCGCGGAUACGCCGUUUCUCUUCGCUCUUUGGUGGCAUUCCUUACGAGAUGUCGCGCCAAUUGGCGAGCAACGCGUUCCAUCCACACCGACGAAUUUUCCGACGAAACAUUUACGUUAAGUUAGUUACGCACGGAACCAUCGACGAAGGCUCUCCGUAGGAAGAGGGACAGUCUCGUUGGUGGUUCCGACGAUUGAAAGGGGAUCCAAAGGGUGAUGGGAGAAAAAUCUGGCGACGAGAAUCGGACGUUCCGUUAAAAAGCGAAACCUCGGCGAAA